rnacentral:rRNA from 1 species
UACGGGGGGGGCAAGCGUUGUUCGGAAUUACUGGGCGUAAAGGGCUCGUAGGCGGCCAACUAAGUCCGACGUGAAAUCCCCAGGCUUAACCUGGGAACUGCGUCGGAUACUGGAUGGCUUGAAUUCGGGAGAGGGAUGCGGAAUUCCAGGUGUAGCGGUGAAAUGCGUAGAUAUCUGGAGGAAUACCGGUGGCGAAGGCGGCAUCCUGGACCGACAUUGACGCUGAUGAGCGAAAGCUAGGGGAGCAAACAGG